AUCAUUAACUGAAUCCAUAGGUUAAUGAGGCGAACCGGGGGAACUGAAACAUCUAAGUACCCCGAGGAAAAGAAAUCAACCGAGAUUCCCCCAGUAGCGGCGAGCGAACGGGGAGGAGCCCAGAGCCUGAAUCAGCAUGUGUGUUAGUGGAAGCGUCUGGAAAGGCGCGCGAUACAGGGUGACAGCCCCGUACACAAAAGCGCAUGUGCUGUGAGCUCGAUGAGUAGGGCGGGACACGUGGUAUCCUGUCUGAAUAUGGGGGGACCAUCCUCCAAGGCUAAAUACUCCUGACUGACCGAUAGUGAACCAGUACCGUGAGGGAAAGGCGAAAAGAACCCCGGCGAGGGGAGUGAAAAAGAACCUGAAACCGUGUACGUACAAGCAGUGGGAGCACAGGUUUACCUGUGUGACUGCGUACCUUUUGUAUAAUGGGUCAGCGACUUAUAUUCUGU
rnacentral:rRNA from 1 species